UACAGAGGGGGCAAGCGUUGUUCGGAAUUACUGGGCGUAAAGGGCGCGUAGGCGGCCCUCUAAGUCAGACGUGAAAUCCCUCGCUCAACCGAGGAACUGCGCCGAAUACUGCUGUGCUAGAGGGAGAUAGGGGUAAGCGGAACUGAUGGUGGAGCGGUGAAAUGCGUUGAUAUCAUCAGGAACACCGGUGGCGAAGGCGGCUUACUGGAUCUCUUCUGACGCUGAUGCACGAAAGCUAGGGGAGCGAACGGG
rnacentral:rRNA from 1 species